CGACACCCGUCCCAUCAGUAGUCCAUAAAUCGCUCAAAUUUUGUCUGGCUGAUCGGUAAAGACCAGCAAGAUAGAGAAGGAUUAUAAAAGCUUUCAAUUCAAUCAUAGUGCAUUUUUUAACAUGCGUGUACUUAGACAAAUUAGUACACGAAGCUAUUUUAGGUUCAAUGCGUGAAUUAGUAUGCAUAAAUAUGAUUUGUAGCAUAUCCUCAGUAAUGAAAAGAUUCCAGCAUUCCACUUCAGACAUUGCCGACUUUGCUUCUGGCACUAAACCUGGCAGAACAAGAUACAGCAAGUCUUCAAAGCACAGAUGAAGAAUGAUACUGGUCAAAAUCAGUCCAACCGUUUCAGAGAUUAGCCGAAACAAACAGACAGACAGAGAAAAAUUAUAAAAAUGUUAUUUUGAUAUAUGUACCGUGUAUGCAUAUGAUAGAAUUUUACUGAUUAUAAAGAUAAUUAGUAAGAAAAA